UCUGCGGCAUGGGCGUGUCCGUCAUUAAACAAGAACGCCCAUUGGGCGUUCCUGGUACUGCAGCAUCGACCAAUCACGAAGAGCUUCAAGUGACGCUGGCCCUGUAGGACAAGCUGGCGGACCCCUCCCACCCUCUCAAGCAAGCAGUGAAAGCCCUGCAGGACAAGCUGGCGUACCCCUCCCAUCGUCUCCAUCGGCCCAGUUCAGCACCACCUUCCAGACAGCAAGCAGUGAAAGUCUUACAGGACAAGCUGUCGGACCAUUCUCACACUCUCCAUCAAGCACAUCAAGUGACAGGCCAAUCUCCCCCCCCAGAAGUGUUACAACAACUUAUUGGAGAAACACUGUGUCUUGAUAUGUCUAUGCUAGGUGUUUUUAACAGAGUAUCAAAAUCUUGCUGUACUGUCUGUCCACUAGCCACUUUUUACCACUGUCUUACUGCUUCACUGUUUGCAUGCUAUAUUAGCACAUAUGCAUAACCCCUCCCUCCAUCCCACAGCCGGAUUGUGGCCACACUUAUACCUUUACUUAUUACGUAAUGCUUUAUAAUCAAUACUCGUAUAAAGGCUGUAACCCUAUUACGUCAACCCAUUCUUGCACUGAUAUAGUUUUUCUAUAGUCUUUUUUAUACUACCUUGUCUACUCUCUUAUAUGUCCAUAUUUAUUUUAUGCUGGUCU